ACAUCUGAAGAAUUCUUUUUACAUCUGAAAAUGAAUUCAAAAUUGGUGACAUACGACUGAAUUCUUUUUGAAAUGAAUAAUUAAAUUUUCCUCCAUGUUGUUAACACACAACAAAUGACGCUCAUAAGCUAUUUGCGGCGAAUUAUUCGCUACUCGCUACAAAUCAUUCGCAGCGAAAAAUUCGCUACAUGAAAAGGCACCCUUACUGCAUUAUUAUCAAUCAUAUUGCACAACAGUCUGACGAAUUGUCUCUCCGCUCUGACUUCGUGGAUCUUCCAAUAAUUACAAAACAAUAAUCAUCGGCACUUGAAUUGCAUCGAUCAAACCACUAUUCAUAUCAAUACUGACACUUGCACAAGUUCAAGUCUUCGAAAAAUAUCACAGACACAGUAUGUUAUUUCAAGUGAUAAAUUUCCUCACACGAGUUUGCCAAGAGCAGCCACCGCUUAAUUUCCUAAAUCUGGCCUCGACAGGUUAAGGACUAAAGAAAUGCAGCCCGUUUUACCAAGUGCUUCCUUCUAACCAGCUAAAUAAAAUUUAUCAAAUAAAAUGGAGUAUUUACAAAUUUACAUGAUCACCGAGAGAGGACCGAUUUUUCACGUAAGACUAACUCGAACUAGGUCGCAAAAGGAAGGCUCCACGAAGAUGAAAUUGUUUCGCUGAAUUCCUGGACUAACCACUUUAUGUCGUAGGCUCUACAUGAGCGGUAAAAGUGGCAAUUUUUACGUUGAGAUAAAAUAUAGGCGAUUCAAUGUUUUACGUAAAUAUAUGUUAAUGCUUUGAA